rnacentral:tRNA from 2 species
AGGGGUGUAGCCAAGCGGUAAGGCAUCGGACUUUGACUCCGACAUGCGAUGGUUCGAUCCCAUCCACCCCUGCCA